GAUGAACGCUGGCGGCAUACCUUACACAUGCAAGUCGAACGGCAGCACGGGAGUAAUCCUGGUGGCGAGUGGCGAACGGGUGAGUAAAGUAUCGGAACGUGCCCAGUCGUGGGGGAUAACGUAGCGAAAGUUACGCUAAUACCGCAUACGAUCUAUGGAUGAAAGCGGGGGAUCGCAAGACCUCGCGCGAUUGGAGCGGCCGAUAUCAGAUUAGGUAGUUGGUGGGGUAAAGGCUCACCAAGCCGACGAUCUGUAGCUGGUCUGAGAGGACGACCAGCCACACUGGGACUGAGACACGGCCCAGACUCCUACGGGAGGCAGCAGUGGGGAAUUUUGGACAAUGGGCGAAAGCCUGAUCCAGCCAUGCCGCGUGCAGGAUGAAGGCCUUCGGGUUGUAAACUGCUUUUGUACGGAACGAAAAGGUUUGGCCUAAUAAGCUGAGCUCAUGACGGUACCGUAAGAAUAAGCACCGGCUAACUACGUGCCAGCCGCCGCCGUAA
rnacentral:rRNA from 1 species